UAACAGGCAAUGAUCAAAACGCAGUAGUUAUUAAAGCCAAUGUUUCAGAGAGCUAGUGGUUGCUGAGAACUAGUACAAGCUUUAAGACGAAUUACAUUUUAGGAGCCUUUGGCAUUGAUUUGUCACGUGACAGCGUUAAAUGUUUGAGUGAUAUGUUUUGAAUGAAACAUAUAAAAUGGGUGGUACCGCGAGAUUUCGUCCCUUGG
rnacentral:ncRNA from 1 species